rnacentral:rRNA from 1 species
UACGUAGGUGGCAAGCGUUGUCCGGAUUUAUUGGGUUUAAAGGGUGCGUAGGCGGUUCCAUAAGUCAGUGGUGAAAUACAAUAGCUUAACUAUUGAGGUGCCAUUGAUACUGCGGAACUUGAGUACAGACGAGGUAGGCGGAAUUGACGGUGUAGCGGUGAAAUGCUUAGAUAUCGUCAAGAACACCGAUAGCGAAGGCAGCUUACUAGACUGUAACUGACGCUGAGGCACGAAAGUGUGGGAGUCAAACAGG